GACAGAGGGUGCAAACGUUUGUUCGGAAUUACUGGGCGUAAAGAGUGUGUAGGCGGUGUUCCCAGUCUGUUUGUGAAAUCUCCCGGCUUAACUGGGGAGGGUGCAGCGGAAACUAGAAUGCUAGAGGGUGGGAGAGGUAAGCGGAAUUCCUGGUGUAGCGGUGAAAUGCGUAGAUAUCAGGAGGAACACCUGUGGUGUAGACAGCUUUACUGGACCACUUCUGACGCUGAGACACGAAAGCGUGGGUAGCAAACAGG
rnacentral:rRNA from 1 species